rnacentral:misc_RNA from 1 species
ACCUUUCAAAUCAGGGUGCGGCGCGGCCCCCGAGGAGCGGAAACAAUCCUUGGGAGGUAUGCGGGGGCUUCGAGCCCCCCAUUUACGCACGCACGACUGCCAUCCUUACUUUACGAGCACCUUCUGUUCUCCCUCGGCGGGGUAACCUGCCGUUGGAACCGAAUAAACUCUUUUUGCAUCUAGCAUUACCUGUUCCGAAACAAACAAUCGUUA